UACGGAGGGGGCAAGCGUUAUCCGGAUUCACUGGGCUUAAAGGGUGCGUAGGCGGACAGGUAAGUCAGUGGUGAAAUCUCUGGGCUUAACCCAGAAACUGCCGUUGAUACUAUUUGUCUUGAAUAUCCUGGAGGUAGGCGGAAUAUGUCAUGUAGCGGUGAAAUGCUUAGAUAUGACAUAGAACACCGAUAGCGAAGGCAGCUUACUACAGGAUGAUUGACGCUGAGGCACGAAAGCGUGGGGAGCGAACAGG
rnacentral:rRNA from 1 species